rnacentral:snoRNA from 1 species
UUGCAAUGAUGUUUUGAAUUUCUUCACCUGAAUCACAUGUGUGGAUUCAAACAUACGAGCUUUUUAACCCUGAGCUAA